AUGUGCAUACCAAAAAAUGAGGGUGGAAUGGGCUUCCUUGACCUUCAUGCUUUUAACCUCGCGAUGGUAGCCAAACAAUGUUGGAGAUUGAUCUCUAAUCCAGAUGCGUUAUGGGCUCAUAUGCUUUGUGCGAAAUACUAUCCGGAUGGUAAUAUUUUGAAGGCAGGGAACAAAAAAGGAUCUUCCUUUACUUGGCAGUCUAUUAUUUCUGGAAUCCAAACUUUCAAGAGAGGUCAUAUUUGGCGUGUUGGGACAUGAUCUGAAAUCAAUCUAUGCAAUGACUGCUGGGUGCCAAACAACCCAACUAGAAAGGUUUUGACACCUAAGGGGGCUUGUUUGCUGACCAGAGUGGAAGAAUUGGUUGAUCCGUACUCAGGAGAGUGGAAUGAAGCACUCAUCAUAAACAUCUUCUUCCCUAUAGAUGCUGAGAGGAUUUUGAGAAUUCCACUGAAUGUUUAGGUGGUGGAGGGUUUUGUAGCAUGUAACUUUACUAAAUCAUAUGCCUUUGCAGUUUGCUCUGCGUACUAUGUAGAGUGGCACCACCAGCAUGAUUCAUAG
rnacentral:rRNA from 1 species